rnacentral:rRNA from 1 species
GAUCAGAUCAAGCGCGAGAAGGGCGUUUGGUGGAUGCCUUGGCAGUAAGAGGCGAUGAAGGACGUGAUACUCUGCGAUAAGUUCUGGGGAGCUGAGAAUAAGCUUUGAUCCAGGAAUUUCCGAAUGGGGCAACCCACUUGAAUGCUUGAUGAUAUUAUCUCGCUUAGGCGAGGUGGUUAUCAUUGAGUAUAAUCAAGUACUUAUUACCUGAACACAUAGGGUUUUAAGAGCAAACCCGGGGAACUGAAACAUCUAAGUACCCGGAGGAAAGGACAUCAAUAUGAUACUCCCCUAGUAGCGGCGAGCGAACGGGGACCAGCCGAGCCUUGAGUGUGAAUAGAAUGGUCUGGAAUGGCCAACCAUAGUGGGUGACAGUCCCGUAUAUGAAGCAUGAUAGGACGUAUUAAGUAGGGCGGGACACGUGAAAUCCUGUCUGAAGAUCGGGGGACCACCCUCGAAGGCUAAGUACUCCUUACUGACCGAUAGCGAACCAGUACCGUGAGGGAAAGGUGAAAAGCACCCCGACGAGGGGAGUGAAACAGUACCUGAAACCGAACGCCUACAAUCAGUCGGAGGCUCCUUGCGAGCUGACGGCGUACCUUUUGUAUAAUGGGUCAUCGACUUGGUCUCACGUGCAAGCUUAAGCCGAUAGGUGUAGGCGCAGCGAAAGCGAGUCUUAAUAGGGCGUCGAGUUCGUGGGAUCAGACCCGAAACCGAGUGAUCUAGGCAUGACCAGGAUGAAGGUAAGGUAACACUUACUGGAGGUCCGAACCCACACCUGUUGAAAAAGGUCGGGAUGAGUUGUGCCUAGGGGUGAAAGGCCAAUCAAACUCGGAGAUAGCUGGUUCUCCGCGAAAUCUAUUUAGGUAGAGCGUCAUCCGAAUACCCCGGGGGGUAGAGCACUGGAUGGGUAAUGGGGCCCCACAGGCUUACUGAUCCUAACCAAACUCCGAAUACCCGGGAGUACUAGAUGGCAGACACACUGCGGAUGCUAACGUCCGUAGUGGAGAGGGAAACAACCCUGACCUCCAGCUAAGGCCCCUAAUUCAUGGCUAAGUGGGAAAGCAGGUGGGACGACCAAAACAACCAGGAGGUUGGCUUAGAAGCAGCCAUCCUUUAAAGAUAGCGUAACAGCUCACUGGUCUAAUUAAGUUGUCCUGCGGCGAAGAUGUAACGGGGCUCAAGCCAUGAGCCGAAGCUGAGGAUGCACAUAGUGCAUGGUAGCGGAGCGUAGUGUGACAUAGCUCCAUGCGUCCUUAUCCUUCUUCGGAAGGUAUUGGACGCAAGGAGCUUUCAGUGAAGCCGGGCUGUAAGGCAUCCGGUGGAGAGAUCACUAGCGAGAAUGAUGACAUGAGUAGCGACAAAGAGUGUGAGAGACACUCUCGCCGAAAGUCCAAGGGUUCCUGCUUAAAGCUAAUCUGAGCAGGGUAAGCCGGCCCCUAAGUCGAGGCAGAAAUGCGUAGACGAUGGGAAUCAGGUUAAUAUUCCUGAGCCAGGAGGAUGUGACGGAUCGUGGCGGCGUGCGGGUCUUAUCGGAUUGACCCGUAUCCAAGACGGUUCCUGGAAAUAGCCCUCCAUCAGACCGUACCCUAAACCGACACAGGUGGACUGGUAGAGCAUACCAAGGCGCUUGAGAGAACGAUGUUGAAGGAACUCGGCAAAAUACCUCCGUAAGUUCGCGAGAAGGAGGCCCGGUGCAUGACCACCGGGGGCACAAACCAGGGGGUGGCGACUGUUUACUAAAAACACAGGGCUCUGCGAAGUCGCAAGACGACGUAUAGGGUCUGACGCCUGCCCGGUGCCUGAAGGUUAAAAGGAGGGGUGCAAGCUCCGAAUUGAAGCCCAGGUAAACGGCGGCCGUAACUAUAACGGUCCUAAGGUAGCGAAAUUCCUUGUCGGGUAAGUUCCGACCUGCACGAAUGGCGUAACGACUUCCCCGCUGUCUCCAACAUCGACUCAGCGAAAUUGAAUUGCCUGUCAAGAUGCAGGCUUCCCGCGGUUAGACGGAAAGACCCCGUGCACCUUUACUACAGCUUCACACUGGCAUUAGGCCGAACAUGUGCAGGAUAGGUGGUAGACUUCGAAGCAGGGACGCUAGUUCCUGUGGAGUCUCCCUUGAGAUACCACCCUUGUUCUGCUUGAUGUCUAACCGCGAUCCCUUAUCGGGUUCCGGGACCCUGUGUGGCGGGUAGUUUGACUGGGGCGGUCGCCUCCUAAAGCGUAACGGAGGCGCGCGAAGGUUGGCUCAGAGCGGUCGGAAAUCGCUCGUUGAGUGCAAUGGCAGAAGCCAGCCUGACUGCGAGACUGACAAGUCGAGCAGAGUCGAAAGACGGCCAUAGUGAUCCGGUGGUCCCGAGUGGAAGGGCCAUCGCUCAACGGAUAAAAGGUACGCCGGGGAUAACAGGCUGAUACUGCCCAAGAGUCCAUAUCGACGGCAGUGUUUGGCACCUCGAUGUCGGCUCAUCUCAUCCUGGGGCUGGAGCAGGUCCCAAGGGUACGGCUGUUCGCCGUUUAAAGAGGUACGUGAGCUGGGUUUAGAACGUCGUGAGACAGUUCGGUCCCUAUCUGCCGUGGGUGUAGGAUACUUGAGAGGAGUUGCCCCUAGUACGAGAGGACCGGGGUGAACGAACCACUGGUGGACCAGUUAUCGUGCCAACGGUAGUGCUGGGUAGCUAUGUUCGGAAAGGAUAACCGCUGAAGGCAUCUAAGCGGGAAGCCCCCCUCAAAACAAGGUAUCCCUGAGGGCCGUGGUAGACCACCACGUCGAUAGGCCGGAGAUGUAAGUGCAGCAAUGCAUUCAGUUGACCGGUACUAAUGGCCCGAUAGGCUUGAUUUGAUCCAG